UACGUAGGGUGCAAGCGUUGUCCGGAAUUAUUGGGCGUAAAGAGCUCGUAGGCGGUUUGUCGCGUCUGCUGUGAAAACCCGCGGCUCAACCGCGGGCCUGCAGCCGAUACGGGCAGGCUAGAGUUCGGUAGGGGAGACUGGAAUUCCUGGUGUAGCGGUGAAAUGCGCAGAUAUCAGGAGGAACACCGAUGGCGAAGGCAGGUCUCUGGGCCGAUACUGACGUGACGGAGGCGAAAGACGUGGGGGAGCGAACAGG
rnacentral:rRNA from 1 species